rnacentral:misc_RNA from 1 species
UCUUCUCAACCCUUCCGUCUUCUUCACCGGAGACUGUCGGGCUUGGAUGUGGAGGUCUUGCAGGCAUCUGGAUCUUUUGAUUCAGAAGUCGGCUCCUCUGAAAUGCAUUAGCUUGAAUAGUACCAAGCAUGAUUCAGCGUGAUAAUUGUCUACGUUGCUUCAUCUCGGUGAAUUAAAUGUUCAAGCUUCUAACCGUCCCUCGGGACAAUCUCUGAAC